rnacentral:lncRNA from 1 species
UUGAGCUAAUCCAUGUCUCAUAUUUUAUGUAAUAUCAUUAGAUCUUAAAUCAUAAUUCUAGAUUUAACUAAUUUAAUACUUAAUUCUUAAUUAAGUUUUUGCAUUAACAUGGUUAAAGUUUUGAAACAAUCUUCAUGUAAAUAUUUUACAUUAAAUCAUAAUUUUUUUUAGAUCAAAUCUAAAAUUUUUUAUGAUUUCAAAAUAAUUUUGAUAAUCAAGAUUAGAUGUAACUAAUUUUUUCAUAAUUUACAUCACAUACAACAAUAUCUAGAAUUUCAAGAUCUAGGAUUUUGCAAGAAAGUAAGUUUUCCUCUUUUCACUUUCUUUUUCGUGGGAUCUCAUAAUGGCACCCCUACA